rnacentral:rRNA from 1 species
UACGUAGGUGGCAAGCGUUGUCCGGAAUUAUUGGGCGUACAGCGCGCGCAGGCGGCCUCUUAAGUCUGAUGUGAAAGCCCCCGGCUCAACCCGGGGAGGGCCAUUGGAAACUGGGAGGCUUGAGUAUAGGAGAGAAGAGUGGAAUUCCACGUGUAGCGGUGGAAAUGCGUAGAGAUGUGGAGGAACACCAGUGGCGAAGGCGGACUCUUUGGCCUAGUAACUGACGCUGAGGCGCGAAAGCGUGGGGAGCCAAACAGG